rnacentral:tRNA from 1 species
GAGGGUAAAGCUCAGUAGAAGAGUGCAUGCCUAGUAUGCACAAGGUCCUGGGUUCAAUCCUCAGUACCUCUG